rnacentral:rRNA from 1 species
ACGGAGGGUCCAAGCGUUGUCCGGAUUUAUUGGGUGUAAAGGGUGUGUAGGCGGGCGUGUCAGUCAGAGGUGAAAUCCUACGGCUCAACCGUAGAACUGCCUUUGAUACUGCAUGUCUUGAGUCCUGGAGAGGUUGUUAGAAUUCGUGGUGUAGCGGUGAAAUGCGUAGAUAUCACGAGGAAUACCGGUUACGAAGGUUGACAGCUGGACAGGUACUGACGCUGAGGCACGAAAGCGUGGGGAGCAAACAGG